rnacentral:rRNA from 1 species
GACGAACGCUGGCGGCGUGCUUAACACAUGCAAGUCGAACGAAGUGGCGAACGGGUGAGUAACGCGUAAUCAACCUGCCCUUCAGAGGGGGACAACAGUUGGAAACGACUGCAAAUACCGCAUACUGAAGGAGGGGAUGGCGUGGGAUUCGCUAGUUGGGGGGGUAACGGCCCACCAAGGCGAUGAUCAGUAGCCGGUCUGGGAGGAUGAACGGCCAAAUUGGGACUGAGACACGGGCCAGACUCCUACGGGAGGCAGCAAGGGGGAAUCUUCCGCAAUGGACGAAAGUCUUGCGGAGCAACUGCGCGUGAGUGAUGACGGCCUUCGGGUUGUAAAGCUCUGUUAAUCGGGACGCGGUACCGGAAUAGAAAGCCACGGCUAACUACGUGCCAGCAGCCGCGGUAAUAC